GAUCCCAGAUAGGAUUGGAUGGCUUGGCGCACAGUGCUCCUGCUGCUGGAGGCCGCCCUGGCCCCGACUCAGACCUGUGCGGGCUCACACUCGCUGCGGUAUUUCCACACCGCCAUGUCCCGGCCCGGCCUCGGGGAGCCCCGGUUCAUCGCUGUCGGCUACGUGGACGACACGCAGUUCGUGCGCUUCGACAGCGACGCGGAGAAUCCGAGGAUGGAACCGCGCGCGCCAUGGAUGGAGCAGGAGGGGCCGGAGUAUUGGGAGCGGGAGACACAGGUCGCCAAGAACACGGAGCAGAUUUCUCGAGUGAACCUGAGGACCCUGCGCGGCUAUUACAACCAGAGCGAGGGCGUAUGCCUACGAUGGCCAGGAUUACAUCGCCCUGAACGAAGACCUGAAAACGUGGACGACAGCAGACAUAGCAGCUCAGAUUACUGGACAAAAACUGGAACAGAUCCCCAAAGGCACAUGUGACCCAUCACCCGGGAUCUGAAGAUGAUGUCACCCUGAGGUGUUGGGCCCUGGGCUUCUACCCUGCUGACAUCACCCUGACCUGGCAGUUGAAUGGGGAGGAGCUGACCCAGGACAUGGAGCUUGUGGAGACCAGGCCUGCAGGGGAUGGAAUCUUCCAGAAGUGGGCAGCUGUGGUGGUGCCUCUUGGGAAGGAGCAGAAUUACACAUGCCAUGUGCACCAUGAGGGGCUGCCUGAGCCCCUCACCCUGAGAUGGGAGCCUCCUCUAUCCACCGACUCCAACAUGGUGACCAUUGCUGUUCUGGUUGUCCUUGGAACUGUGAUAGUCAUUGUUGCUGUGGUGGCUUUUGUGAUGAAGAGGAGGAGAAACACAGCGUGAAGCCAGCUGCCUGGAGUGGACUAAGUGACAGACAAUGUCUUCACACAUCUCCUGUGACAUCCAGAGCCCUCAGUUUUCUUUAGUCAAGUAUCUGAUGUUCCCUGUGAGCCUAUGGGCUCAAAGUGAAGAACUGUGCAGCCCAGCCUGCCCUGCACACAGAACCCUGUCCCUGCACUGCCCUGGGUUCCCUUCCACAGCCAACCUUGCUGCUCCAGCCAAACACUGGGCGACAUCUGCAUCCUGCCAGCUCCAUGCUGCCCUGAGCUGCAGCUCCUCACUUCCACACUGAGAGUAAGAAUCUGAAUGGGACCUUGAUUCUUAACAUCCUGACCGAGGGUUGAUUUCUUGUUAAUUUCAUGGAUUGAGAAUACUUAGAGUUUUGGUUUGUUUUGAUUUUUUUUCAAGAAAUAAAUGGCAGAUGGAGAACCUUCCA
rnacentral:lncRNA from 1 species